UAAGUUUGAUCCUGGCCAGGACGAACGCUGGCGGCAUGCCUAACACAUGCAAGUCGAACGGAGUUAUUACCAUGAAGUUUUCGGAUGGAUUGGUUUUAACUUAGUGGCGGACGGGUGAGUAACGCGUGAGCAACCUGCCUUUCAAAGGGGGACAACAGUUGGAAACGACUGCUAAUACCGCAUAAAGUAUUCGGGAGGCAUCUCUUGAGUACCAAAGAUCUAUCGCUGAAAGAUGGGCUCGCGUAUGAUUAGAUAGUUGGUGAGGUAACGGCUCACCAAGUCGACGAUCAUUAGCCGGACUGAGAGGAUGGACGGCCACAUUGGGACUGAAAUACGGCCCAGACUCCUACGGGAGGCAGCAGUGGGGAAUAUUGGGCAAUGGGGGAAACCCUGACCCAGCAACGCCGCGUGAAGGAAGAAGGCCUUCGGGUUGUAAACUUCUUUUACCAGGGACGAAGGACGUGACGGUACCUGGAGAAAAAGCAACGGCUAACUACGUGCCAGCAGCCGCGGUAAUACGUAGGUUGCAAGCGUUGUCCGGAAUUACUGGGUGUAAAGGGCGUGUAGGCGGAGCUGCAAGUCAGAUGUGAAAUCCCGGGGCUCAACCCCGGAACUGCAUUUGAAACUGUUGUUCUUGAGUGAAGUAGAGGUAAGCGGAAUCCCUGGUGUAGCGGUGAAAUGCGUAGAUAUCAGGAGGAACACCGGUGGCGAAGGCGGCUUACUGGGCUUUAACUGACGCUGAGGCUCGAAAGCGUGGGUAGCAAACAGGAUUAGAUACCCUGGUAGUCCACGCUGUAAACGAUGAUUACUAGGUGUGGGGGGACUGACCCCUUCCGUGCCGCAGUUAACACAAUAAGUAAUCCACCUGGGGAGUACGGCCGCAAGGUUGAAACUCAAAGGAAUUGACGGGGGCCCGCACAAGCGGAGGAACAUGUGGUUUAAUUCGAUGAUACGCGAGGAACCUUACCCGGGCUUAAAUUGCACUGGACAGCUCAAGAGAUUGAGUCUUUUUCGGACCAGUGUGAAGGUGCUGCAUGGUUGUCGUCAGCUCGUGCCGUGAGGUGUCGGCUUAAGUGCCAUAACGAGCGCAACCCUUGCCAAUAGUUACUAACAGGUUAUGCUGAGGACUUUAAUGGGACUGCCAUCGUAAGAUGUGAGGAAGGUGGGGAUGACGUCAAAUCAGCACGGCCCUUACGUCCGGGGCUACACACGUGUUACAAUGGGAGGUACAGAAGGCUGCUACCCGGCGACGGGAUGCCAAUCCCCAAAACCUCUCUCAGUUCGGAUUGGAGUCUGCAACCCGACUCCAUGAAGCUGGAUUCGCUAGUAAUCGCGCAUCAGCCACGGCGCGGUGAAUACGUUCCCGGGCCUUGUACACACCGCCCGUCAAGCCAUGAAAGCCGGGGGUACCUGAAGUGCGUGACCGCGAGGAGCGCCCUAGGGUAAAACUGGUGAUUGGGGCUAAGUCGUAACAAGGUAACCGU
rnacentral:rRNA from 1 species